UGGUGGAGUGAUUUGUCUGGUUAAUUCCGAUAACGAACGAGACUCUAGCCUGCUAAAUAGUCACCAUGUAAUAAUUGCAUGGACUGACUUCUUAGAGGGAUUCGCUACUUUUAGUUGGCACGAAAUUGAGCAAUAACA
rnacentral:rRNA from 1 species